GGGUUGUGAGGUUAAGCGACUAAGCGUACACGGUGGAUGCCCUGGCAGUCAGAGGCGAUGAAGGACGUGCUAAUCUGCGAUAAGCGUCGGUAAGGUGAUAUGAACCGUUAUAACCGGCGAUUUCCGAAUGGGGAAACCCAGUGUGAUUCGUCACACUAUCAUUAACUGAAUCCAUAGGUUAAUGAGGCGAACCGGGGGAACUGAAACAUCUAAGUACCCCGAGGAAAAGAAAUCAACCGAGAUUCCCCCAGUAGCGGCGAGCGAACGGGGAGGAGCCCAGAGCCUGAAUCAGUGUGUGUGUUAGUGGAAGCGUCUGGAAAGGCGCGCGAUACAGGGUGACAGCCCCGUACACAAAAAUGCACAUGCUGUGAGCUCGAUGAGUAGGGCGGGACACGUGGUAUCCUGUCUGAAUAUGGGGGGACCAUCCUCCAAGGCUAAAUACUCCUGACUGACCGAUAGUGAACCAGUACCGUGAGGGAAAGGCGAAAAGAACCCCGGCGAGGGGAGUGAAAAAGAACCUGAAACCGUGUACGUACAAGCAGUGGGAGCCUCUUUAUGGGGUGACUGCGUACCUUUUGUAUAAUGGGUCAGCGACUUAUAUUCUGUAGCAAGGUUAACCGAAUAGGGGAGCCGAAGGGAAACCGAGUCUUAACUGGGCGUUAAGUUGCAGGGUAUAGACCCGAAACCCGGUGAUCUAGCCAUGGGCAGGUUGAAGGUUGGGUAACACUAACUGGAGGACCGAACCGACUAAUGUUGAAAAAUUAGCGGAUGACUUGUGGCUGGGGGUGAAAGGCCAAUCAAACCGGGAGAUAGCUGGUUCUCCCCGAAAGCUAUUUAGGUAGCGCCUCGUGAAUUCAUCUCCGGGGGUAGAGCACUGUUUCGGCAAGGGGGUCAUCCCGACUUACCAACCCGAUGCAAACUGCGAAUACCGGAGAAUGUUAUCACGGGAGACACACGGCGGGUGCUAACGUCCGUCGUGAAGAGGGAAACAACCCAGACCGCCAGCUAAGGUCCCAAAGUCAUGGUUAAGUGGGAAACGAUGUGGGAAGGCCCAGACAGCCAGGAUGUUGGCUUAGAAGCAGCCAUCAUUUAAAGAAAGCGUAAUAGCUCACUGGUCGAGUCGGCCUGCGCGGAAGAUGUAACGGGGCUAAACCAUGCACCGAAGCUGCGGCAGCGACACUAUGUGUUGGGUAGGGGAGCGUUCUGUAAGCCUGCGAAGGUGUACUGUGAGGUAUGCUGGAGGUAUCAGAAGUGCGAAUGCUGACAUAAGUAACGAUAAAGCGGGUGAAAAGCCCGCUCGCCGGAAGACCAAGGGUUCCUGUCCAACGUUAAUCGGGGCAGGGUGAGUCGACCCCUAAGGCGAGGCCGAAAGGCGUAGUCGAUGGGAAACAGGUUAAUAUUCCUGUACUUGGUGUUACUGCGAAGGGGGGACGGAGAAGGCUAUGUUGGCCGGGCGACGGUUGUCCCGGUUUAAGCGUGUAGGCUGGUUUUCCAGGCAAAUCCGGAAAAUCAAGGCUGAGGCGUGAUGACGAGGCACUACGGUGCUGAAGCAACAAAUGCCCUGCUUCCAGGAAAAGCCUCUAAGCAUCAGGUAACAUCAAAUCGUACCCCAAACCGACACAGGUGGUCAGGUAGAGAAUACCAAGGCGCUUGAGAGAACUCGGGUGAAGGAACUAGGCAAAAUGGUGCCGUAACUUCGGGAGAAGGCACGCGAUAUGUAGGUGAAGCGACUGGAUGGAGCUGAAAUCAGUCGAAGAUACCAGCUGGCUGCAACUGUUUAUUAAAAACACAGCACUGUGCAAACACGAAAGUGGACGUAUACGGUGUGACGCCUGCCCGGUGCCGGAAGGUUAAUUGAUGGGGUUAGCGCAAGCGAAGCUCUUGAUCGAAGCCCCGGUAAACGGCGGCCGUAACUAUAACGGUCCUAAGGUAGCGAAAUUCCUUGUCGGGUAAGUUCCGACCUGCACGAAUGGCGUAAUGAUGGCCAGGCUGUCUCCACCCGAGACUCAGUGAAAUUGAACUCGCUGUGAAGAUGCAGUGUACCCGCGGCAAGACGGAAAGACCCCGUGAACCUUUACUAUAGCUUGACACUGAACAUUGAGCCUUGAUGUGUAGGAUAGGUGGGAGGCUUUGAAGUGUGGACGCCAGUCUGCAUGGAGCCGACCUUGAAAUACCACCCUUUAAUGUUUGAUGUUCUAACGUUGGCCCGAUCGGGUUGCGGACAGUGUCUGGUGGGUAGUUUGACUGGGGCGGUCUCCUCCUAAAGAGUAACGGAGGAGCACGAAGGUUGGCUAAUCCUGGUCGGACAUCAGGAGGUUAGUGCAAUGGCAUAAGCCAGCUUGACUGCGAGCGUGACGGCGCGAGCAGGUGCGAAAGCAGGUCAUAGUGAUCCGGUGGUUCUGAAUGGAAGGGCCAUCGCUCAACGGAUAAAAGGUACUCCGGGGAUAACAGGCUGAUACCGCCCAAGAGUUCAUAUCGACGGCGGUGUUUGGCACCUCGAUGUCGGCUCAUCACAUCCUGGGGCUGAAGUAGGUCCCAAGGGUAUGGCUGUUCGCCAUUUAAAGUGGUACGCGAGCUGGGUUUAGAACGUCGUGAGACAGUUCGGUCCCUAUCUGCCGUGGGCGCUGGAGAACUGAGGGGGGCUGCUCCUAGUACGAGAGGACCGGAGUGGACGCAUCACUGGUGUUCGGGUUGUCAUGCCAAUGGCACUGCCCGGUAGCUAAAUGCGGAAGAGAUAAGUGCUGAAAGCAUCUAAGCACGAAACUUGCCCCGAGAUGAGUUCUCCCUGACUCCCUGAGAGUCCUGAAGGAACGUUGAAGACGACGACGUUGAUAGGCCGGGUGUGUAAGCGCAGCGAUGCGUUGAGCUAACCGGUACUAAUGAACCGUGAGGCUUAACCUUACAACGCCGAAG
rnacentral:rRNA from 1 species